GUGUCACGUAGCUCAGUCAGUAGGAUGUGAGACUCUUAAUCUCAGGGUUGUGGGUUUGAGCCCCACGUGGGGCA